AUUGAGGUGGCAGAAUGGUAUGCGUUAAAUUUAAGCUUUAAAGAUGAAAAUUUUUCCCUUGAUA
rnacentral:tRNA from 1 species